ensembl:snoRNA SNORA70 Small nucleolar RNA SNORA70
CUUCAGACAAUUUACCUGACCACUCCCCUCUCUCCAUGGGAGCCCAGUGUGCAGUGGCUGCAUGCAGCAGCUUCAUUAGUAGUGUACACAGACUGUUGCUUGCAUGGUUUGCCCUAAGGAACCUUGUGGGCAGCC